AUUGAACGCUGGCGGCAGGCCUAACACAUGCAAGUCGAGCGGAUGAAGGGAGCUUGCUCCUGGAUUCAGCGGCGGACGGGUGAGUAAUGCCUAGGAAUCUGCCUGGUAGUGGGGGAUAACGUCCGGAAACGGGCGCUAAUACCGCAUCCGUCCUGAGGGAGAAAGUGGGGGAUCUUCGGACCUCACGCUAUCAGAUGAGCCUAGGUCGGAUUAGCUAGUUGGUGGGGUAAAGGCCUACCAAGGCGACGAUCCGUAACUGGUCUGAGAGGAUGAUCAGUCACACUGGAACCGAGACACGGUCCAGACUCCUACGGGAGGCAGCAGUGGGGAAUAUUGGACAAUGGGCGAAAGCCUGAUCCAGCCAUGCCGCGUGUGUGAAGAAGGUCUUCGGAUUGUAAAGCACUUUAAGUUGGGAGGAAGGGCAGUAAGUUAAUACCUUGCUGUUUUGACGUUACCAACAGAAUAAGCACCGGCUAACUUCGUG
rnacentral:rRNA from 1 species